CUACGGGAGGCUGCAGUCGAGAAUAUUCGACAAUGGGCGAAAGCCUGAUCGAGCGACACCGCGUGCAGGAAGAAGGCCUUCGGGUUGUAAACUGCUUUUCUACGGGAAAAAACUUCGGUUGAUUGUACCGUAGGAAUAAGACGUUGCAAACUUCGUGCCAGCAGCCGCGGUAAUACGAAGACGUCGAGCGUUAUCCGGAUUUAUUGGGCGUAAAGAGCGCGUAGGGGGCUUUGUUAGUCUUUUGUUAAAUACCACUGCUCAACGGUGGAAAUGCAAAAGAUACUGGAAAGCUAGAGGGUGCCAGAGGCUAAUGGAACGCACGGUGUAGGGGUGAAAGCCGUUGAUAUCGUGCGGAACACCAAAGGCGAAGGCAAUUAGCUGGGGCACUCCUGACCCUCAGUGCGCGAAAGCGUGGGUAGCAAAAAGGAUUAGAUACCCUUGUAGUC
rnacentral:rRNA from 1 species